rnacentral:rRNA from 1 species
GAACCGUCCAAACGUUAUUCGGAAUCACUGGGCUUAAAGGGUGCGUAGGCGGCCUGGUAAGUUGGGUGUGAAAUCCCUCGGCUCAACCGAGGAAUGGCGCCCAAUACUGCCAGGCUAGAGGGAGACAGAGGUGGGCGGAACUUGCGGUGGAGCGGUGAAAUGCGUUGAUAUCGCAAGGAACACCAGUAGCGAAAGCGGCUCACUGGGUCUCUUCUGACGCUCAGGCACGAAAGCUAGGGUAGCGAACGGGGGAUUAGAUACCCCGGUAGUCCUAGCUGUAAACGUUGAGCACUGGGUUGGAGGCUCCCUCCAUAGGCUUCCCAGCCGUAGCGAAAGUGUUAAGUGCUCCGCCUGGGGAGUAUGGUCGCAAGGCUG